rnacentral:rRNA from 1 species
UACGUAGGGUGCAAGCGUUGUCCGGAAUUAUUGGGCGUAAAGAGCUCGUAGGCGGUCUGUCGCGUCUGCUGUGAAAACUCAGGGCUUAACCCUGAGCUUGCAGUGGGUACGGGCAGACUAGAGUGCGGUAGGGGAGACUGGAAUUCCUGGUGUAGCGGUGAAAUGCGCAGAUAUCAGGAGGAACACCGGGUGGCGAAGGCGGGUCUCUGGGCCGUA